GCGGCUGCACCACUAGGAUACCCUGAUCCAACAUCGAGGUCGUAAACCCACUUGUCGAUAGGGGCUCUUGAAGUAGAUUGCGCUGUUAUCCCUAGGGUAACUUGGUUCGUUGGUCAAAAAUGGGUCAAUUUAUGUCAAUUUAUUGGUGCUUAAAGUUGUGGCUUAUGGUUCAAAAGCGGUUUUGUUCAUCAUGGAGGUUAAUCUUUGCUCCGCGGUCACCCCAACCCAAAACUAAUAGUCAAAAAGAGCAGAAUAAGUGUAGGACUCUGAAGAGUAAAGUGUAAAAGUCAGUGCUAUAUAGUUUGAAGCUCCAUAGGGUCUUCUCGUCUAAUAUUAUAAUCCCCGCUUCUUCACGGGAAGAUCAGUUUUAUUGAUUGGAAAAAGGAGACAGUGUAACCCCUCGUGGUGCCAUUCAUACUAGUCCUCAUUUAAAGAACAAGUGAUUACGCUACCUUCGCACGGUUAGGAUACCGCGGCCGUUGAACUAAGUCACUGGGCAGGCUGGACCUCUUAUAUUGUGCAAGAGGCGAUGUUUUUGGUAAACAGGCGAGGUUAAUGUUUGCCGAGUUCCUUCUUUUUCUUUUAAUCUUUCUUGAAAUGUGCUAGUGUCAGGUUAACGUCAGUAAUAGCAGGGUUUUCUAGAGAAGUUGCUGUUUUGUAGUCAAAGACGUUGAUUAUCAGUGGCGGGUCCUUUCUGAUUUAUGCUUACAUUUAAGAGAGGCACUGCCUCUUAUUACUAGUUUUAACAUAGUGGCUUCUAUAGUAGUAUAGAAUAACUUAAUAUAAGUAAAGGG
rnacentral:rRNA from 1 species